UUUCCGAUUUAGGGUUCCACGGAUUCCACCAUCACAGCCUAACUGAUACUCGGUCACCAAAGAGAAGACCGAGUAACAAACCUAAACGUAAAAGAGCUAUUUUGAGACCUGCAGAUUAGUUAUUGGGUGUUGUUGGUAUAGACGAAUUUGACUUACAACAUUUGAGUAUUUUUGGCUGUUGUUGGUAUAGACGAAUUUAGGGAAAAUUACGCUCUAUGUCUACUAAGAGAAAAUAUUUACGCCACAUAGCCCAUAUUUUGAGUUUGUUACCAGGUUUAGCCCGUAUCCGUAUAAACACCUUAUAUAUAAGGUUGAUACAUUGCAACCCCCUACCCCUCCCCCCUCCUCGGUAACAAACCUAAAUGUAGAAGACCUCCGGGUUAAUCUUCAUUUUCCUAUUUUAUACUUGAUUUGCAACCUAGGGUUUUGAAAUUUUAUGCCAUUUUCAAAUUUGGGCAUUUCAUUAUGCAAAUCUUCAUUUUCUAAUUAUAAGCACUCUUUUCAGUUAAUUGGAACCUAGGGUUUUGGACUAGGGUUUAAGGUUUUAUGUCAUUUUCAGAUUUGGGCAUUCAUUAUGCAGAUUAUGAUUUAUUUAUUUUUUGGUGUUUUUGGUAUGGAUGAAUGUCUUUUACAUAGAUGGUGUGUUUGGUAUGAGGGAAAAUUUUUUCCAAGAAAAUAAAUGAUUUUCCUAGCUCGUUUUUCUUGUGUUUGGUACGUAAGUUGAAAAUUGUCAUUUUAAGAGCAUUUGCAUAUAUUCAAAGCAAAACACUAUGAAGUUUUGUUAAUUCGGAGUGUAUCUUCUUGUCGUGGGGGGUAGGUGUAUGGGUGGUGGGGUAAGUGGGGUGGUGUGGAUGUGGAGCGGGUUGGCGGGGGUGGAGGUAGGCAGAAGGGGUGUGUGGAUGGAUUGUGUCGGUGUGUCUUCAUUCUGUGGAUGAGACUGAACUCUUAACUGAGGUCCAUAUGCAUGGGUAAAAUAUACCCCCGGUGAACCCCUAUAAGUCCAAACAAUCCCAAUGAAGGAAGUGUCAAGCGGAGGAAUGAGAAGAAGAGAAUCGGGUAGAGAAAGGCAUUUAUAUUGGUAUGAUCGUAGAACUGUGACCUUGUGGGGUGAGCUAGCUGAAAAAGAUGGGGAAAUACUACAAAAACUGAUAGAUACAAAACCCGUCGUAGCAUUUUGUGAUGUGAAAGGGUCGACGUAUCAAGGCAUGAUUGUUUGAAAGCGCAAAAUAAAGAUAUUACAUUAAUGCCAGCUAAGAUGAUUAGAGAAGCCAAAGAAGUGAAGAUCAAAGAUAUCAUAAAUGGUUCGUAUGCAACUAUGAAGGAUUUAUAUUGUAGAUUUAAUGCACGAGUAACAGUGAUUAUAGACAAAGAUGAGCCAUGGUAUUCUUCUUGCAAGAAAUGCUAUAAGAUAGUCAAUAUUGAAAAUAAAAUUGCAAAUUGUAGCAAUUGGAGGUCAGAAACCGUCGAUUACGAGGAAAGAUAUCGUUUAAAAAUUGAGGUGUUCGAUGGUGAAUGACAUAGCAAUGUUACACUUUUUGACGCUGCAAGGUACUUGCUAGGUUGUGAUGUUAACGAAUACAUCCAAUCAAUCUCUAAAUAGUUGACAAGUGAACUCAAGCCAAUGGUGUCAAGAGGAGCUUAAUUGCUGAAGAGAUGCAUGAAGUUGGAACUAUUGCUGCAAUUGAAAUUGAGGAAGAAGCAAUAGAGGUGCAGAAAAAACACGCGAAGAAAACAAGGAAUUGUGGAGACAAAGAAGACCCUCAUUCAAUAAUUUAUAAGAAAAUCAAAAUAGAAAAGGAUUAGGGAUUUAUUGUUGUUUUGUCAUUCCAGUGGACAUUCAUUAUCUUUUUUAUGAGUAGAUUUCCCCUAGUCUUUAUUUAAUUCUCUUAUGCUAUUGUAGUGUACUUUCGUUAGUCUAUAAUAUGUUACUAUUUAAGCUUCUUUUGAGAAUUAUAUUUAGUAAUUUGG